CAUAAUUUAUGGCUAUGCAUGCAUCACGUUUAUGCUGAUUUUAAAGUAUCAUACAUGCAAGUUGAUAUAGCAAUUGCAUCUAGCUAAGUGUAUUGCUUGCAAGAGGUACUAUAGGCUCUUGAUGCUACGGGUUGAAUGCAACUUAAUCGGCCUUGCCAGUGGCCGAGAAUGACUGAGCCGGCCUCGCCAAUGGCUGAUAAAAAACUGAGCUGGCCCUGCCAGUGGCCAAUAACGACUUUGCAGUAGCAUCCGAGAGUAUGAACCACAGCAUAUCGGAGGUACGAUUUUUACGUUAUAU
rnacentral:lncRNA from 1 species